UCCCUGAACAUGACUACGGUGUUCUCCAAACCACCAUCCUGGAGUCUCUAGUGAAACGCAACCUGCAGCCCCUACCCAGCAUGACGCACAAGGUACUGACUGACCCUACCCAGCAUGACGCACAAGGUACUGACUGACCCUACCCAGCAUGACGCACAAGGUACUGACUGACCCUACCCAGCAUGACCAACAAUGUACUGACUGACCCUACCCAGCAUGACCAACAAGGUACUGACUGACCCUACCCAGCAUGACCAACAAGGUACUGACUGACCCUACCCAGCAUGACCAACAAGGUACUGACUGACCCUACCCAGCAUGACCAACAAGGUACUGACUGAUCCUACCCAGCAUGACCAACAAGGUACAGACUGAUCCCUUCCUCUCCCUCCCUCCAGGUGAUCUCUGUAUGGUUGUAACCCUCUCCCUCCCUCCAGGUGAUCUCUGUGUGGUUGUAACCCUUCCUCUCCCUCCCUCCAGGUGAUCUCUGUGUGGUUGUAACCCUUCCUCUCCCUCCCUCCAGGUGAUCUCUGUGUGGUUGUAACCCUCUCCCUCCCUCCCUCCAGGUGAUCUCUGUGUGGUUGUAACCCUCUCCCUCCCCCAGGUGAUCUCUGUGUGGUUGUAACCCUCUCCCUCCCUCCAGGUGAUCUCUGUGUGGUUGUAACCCUUCCUCUCC
ensembl:lncRNA